rnacentral:rRNA from 1 species
UACGUAGGGGGCAAGCGUUAUCCGGAUUUACUGGGUGUAAAGGGAGCGUAGACGGCCAGACAAGUCAGAAGUGAAAGCCCAGGGCUCAACCCUGGGACUGCUUUUGAAACUGCCGGGCUGGAGUGCAGGAGAGGUAAGCGGAAUUCCUAGUGUAGCGGUGAAAUGCGUAGAUAUUAGGAGGAACACCAGUGGCGAAGGCGGCUUACUGGACUGUAACUGACGUUGAGGCUCGAAAGAGUGGGGAGCAAACAGG